CACCGGCGGCCCGAGUGGUGGCCACUAUUAUUGGGUCUAAAGGGUCCGUAGCCGGUUUGGUCAGUCUUCCGGGAAAUCUGACGGCUUAACCGUUAGGCUUUCGGGGGAUACUGCCAGGCUUGGGACCGGGAGAGGUAAGAGGUACUACGGGGGUAGGAGUGAAAUCUUGUAAUCCCUGUGGGACCACCAGUGGCGAAGGCGUCUUACCAGAACGGGUCCGACGGUGAGGGACGAAAGCUGGGGGCACGAACCGGAUUAGAAACCCUAGUAGUCC
rnacentral:rRNA from 1 species